GAAUUUCCAAAGAUUUUGCAGAUUAUGCUACUCAUGUUUCCACUGAACCAAGGGGAACUUAUGGUUAUGCCCCUCCUGAGUAUUUCAAAAUUGGCGAAAGUAGGAAUCUUACUGAUAAGUCCGACGUCUUUUCCUUCGGCAUUGUUCUUUUGGAGCUAAUUACAGGGAAAAAAGCCUGUGUUAAAAAGAAAAGCAAGCGAUAUAUUUACUUGGCUGUUUGGGCAAUGCCUCUACUCAAACAAAUUUUGG
rnacentral:misc_RNA from 1 species